GAAGAACCCGCCAUCAACAAGUUCAGGGGUCAAAGACCAAGGGCAGAGGUCAUCAAGAGGUCAAGUCUAAUCUACCUACAGAUGUGGCAGGCUUACCUAUGGAGGUUCAAGCCAGACAUUGCCAGCAGAACCACAUCUCUUCACCCAUAGCACGGACUGUAGGAGAAAGCCCAGAGGAGCAAUGAAGACAAAGAAGACAUGACACAUGCAAAAAGUCAGUGGAGCAUUUCUACAUAACAAACC